UACGGGGGGGGCAAGCGUUGUUCGGAAUUACUGGGCGUAAAGGGCUCGUAGGCGGCCAACUAAGUCGGACGUGAAAUCCCCAGGCUCAACCUGGGAACUGCGUCCGAUACUGGAUGGCUUGAAUUCGGGAGAGGGAUGCAGAAUUCCAGGUGUAGCGGUGAAAUGCGUAGAUAUCUGGAGGAAUACCGGUGGCGAAGGCGGCAUCCUGGACCGACAUUGACGCUGAACGGCGAAAGCUAGGGGAGCAAACGGG
rnacentral:rRNA from 1 species